rnacentral:rRNA from 1 species
GAUGAACGCUGGCGGCGUGCCCAAUACAUGCGAGUCGAGCGGUAAGGCCCUUCGGGGUACACGAGCGGCGGACGGCUGAGUAACACGUAGGAACAUACCCCAAAGUGAGGGAUAGGCACCAGAAAUGGUGUCUAAUACCGCAUGUGCUCUAAGGAGUAAAGCUUCGGCGCUUUGGGAAUGGCCUGCGUCUGAUUAGCUAGAUGGUGAGGUAAUGGCUCACCAUGGCGACGAUCAGUAGCUGGUCUGAGAGGAUGAUCAGCCAGACUGGGACUGAGACACGGCCCAGACUCCUACGGGAGGCAGCAGUAGGGAAUUUUCCACAAUGGGCGAAAGCCUGAUGGAGCAACGCCGCGUGCAGGAUGAAGGCCUUCGGGUUGUAAACUGCUUUUAUAUGUGACGAAUAUGACGGUAGCAUAUGAAUAAGGAUCGGCUAACUCCGUGCCAGCCGCCGCAGUAA